GAACGGCCACAUUGGGACUGAGAUACGGCCCAGACUCCUACGGGAGGCAGCAGUUAAGAAUCUUGCACAAUGGGCGCAAGCCUGAUGCAGCGACGCCGCGUGAAUGAUGAAGGCUUUAGGGUUGUAAAGUUCAGUAAGCAGGGAAGAAUAAGCAAGAGGUAAUAUUUCUUGUGAUGACGGUACCUGCCUAAAGCCCCGGCUAACUACGUGCCAGCAGCCGCGGUAAUACGUACGGGGCGAGCGUUGUUCGGAAUUAUUGGGCGUAAAGGGCGUCUAGGCGGGAAAUUAAGUUAGGUGUGAAAGCUAUGGGCUCAACCCAUAAACUGCAUCUAAAACUGAUUUUCUUGAGUUCGGGAGAGGAGAGCGGAAUUCCAGGUGUAGCGGUGAAAUGCGUAGAUAUCUGGAAGAACACCAGUGGCGAAGGCGGCUCUCUGGCCUAGAACUGACGCUGAAGCGCGAAAGCGUGGGGAGCGAACAGGAUUAGAUACCCUGGUAGUCCACGCUGUAAACGUUGUAUACUAGGUGUUAGUGGCUUGUCCACUAGUGCCGCAGCAAACGCAUUAAGUAUACCGCCUGGGGAGUACGCCCGCAAGGGUGAAACUCAAAGGAAUUGACGG
rnacentral:rRNA from 1 species